rnacentral:lncRNA from 1 species
CACCGGAAGUGCCCAGCCCCGCAAGACUGGGUGAUACACAGAAUUCAACGGGCGCCCGGACCAUGCGGCUGUGAUCACCGGCGCUCCGGGUCUGCCUACAGAGACAUCUUCUGGAACCGUGGGUCUGGCUGGCGGGAGUUCCCGGACUUUAGCCUACCCCAGAAAAAUCAGUAAAAACUGCAGCGCUCGGCCUGGAAGCAGCAGCCUGGCCACUGUCCUGACAGAUUGCCGAAUGCCUUGGAGCAGGGCCUGGGUUCGGCUGAUGCCCCACCCAUCCGUCCAUGAAGCUCCCGCACAGCCGGAUGGCGUGAGAUUGCAGUAUCUGCCCUAGGCCCCUGUCUACCAUCUCUGGCUCAAAAGAUCCCUGGGCCAGAAUCUACUAGACACAAUAGGCCACUUCAUCUCUGUUGCUUCAAUACCCAAACCUAAAUCCACUAAUCGUAAUUCCCCAAUUUAUAGUUUUCUUACCAGGCAUCUUAUUUCAGCUUUCGAAGUGAUACUCAGGUAGUGUGGAGGACUAACGGUCAGCUUCCUGGAAGGCCCAGCUGAACCGAGCCAGCACGGUUCUGGGUGCGGAAGACCCGCCUGAGGACUGCUGCCAACCGCAUAAAAGGAGAACCGGAGGUGAAGAUCGAAUGCUGUUGAUGCUCCUGGGAGGCUUUGCCGCGGCUGGUUUUCCUGGUGCGAACUCCGCUGUUCUCAUUGUCAGAGGAGGAGCUCGAGUCCCCCCUGUCGCCGGGGAUGGCUGCUGUUCUUGUCGGGGGAGCUCUGCUCUUCGCCUUGAGCCCCCUCAGGCUGGUGCCACAGGAUUUCUGGCUUCCACCAGUGGCCUUCGGGCCUUCCCGGUGCAGAUGCUCAAUGUGGACUUGCAUGGGACCCUGCCGUGGGCUCUGGGCCUCUGGCCGGACUCGUGGGGGACACUGCCUUGGGCAAGACAUUGUAGUCAUCAGAGCCGGGGAUUUAGCUCAGUGGUUCCAGUGCCUGCCUUGCAAGCACAAGGUCCUGAGUUUGAUCCCUGGUACCAAAAAAAAAAAAAAGACAUUGUAGUCAUCAAUACAGUGUGUGAAUCCUCCCCUAUCAGCAUGUACAGAGCUGCUUCAGUCUUUCUCAAGGCCGCAUGGAAAAUUCCGUGUAAGGAUGUCAAGGAAUCAAUGCGCCUCUCUGGGAUCAGGAAGGAAGAAUUAGCCAACACCAGGGAUCUGUGCCAAGCAGCCUGUUCUGAUGGCUGCUCUGAUUCUGCUUUGAGAGAAUGUCACCCACUUUGUCUUUGGCAGUCAGGAGUCAGUACUCGACCCAUCACCUGGGAUCCAAUCAGUCUCGUUUCCUAACCAAACUCCCAACUAAUGUAAAUAAUCGGACUUAGGAACCAGAGGACUGACUCCAGAAGAUGAGAUACCCGGUCACUGAGGCGCAGCCGGAAAUCGUGGAGGAGGGAAGUGUGCUCCGGACUGGUCUCCCUCUUGUCCUCUUUCCCUUCCCGCCCUCGCCUCCUUGGCAUUCUGGCAGGCUUGGGGCCCUGA